rnacentral:lncRNA from 1 species
CCGACCACGCGCAUGCAGGCUGGGGGCCGUUGGAGUGGGAGCGGAGCAGAAGCGGCGCACCGGAGAUGUGACCAAGUGCGGCGGUCCUACAAGAAGCUACGCGGUGUGCCGGCCAUGCUUCAGCGGCACACGUGCGUGAGCAGAGAAGGUUUAGCCAUGAGCAGGAAAACCCUGAGGUUCGCAGAGGAGUUGGCAUAGCGAACCAAUCCGGCUCUAUCGUCUCGUCCUAGGGGUCCACGACAUCCAGCAGCCCCUAUCUCUCGUCGAUCGUCCGAGCAAAACCACAGCACCUCAAGAAAGCUCGUGAACCCUCUCAUCGAGCUCUUUUCAUCGCCAAUCCUGUUCACCGUGGGAAUUCACUUUCGUCUGUUCUUCUCCACAACCAAGGUUUGCCCUGAUUCACUGAAUCUUCCUAAUGCCGGCGAUUCCUUUGCCGGAAUAUCAUCGUUAUCUUCCUGUUCUUGUUUUCCCCGACCAGGGACUUAAUUGCUUUGAUUUAGAAAGUUCUAGGGUGUUCUCUGUAAAAUUUCCAAAACUUUCUUUAUUUCAAAUCAGUGAACAUUUACAAGUUUUAUGUUGUGCUCUUGAGUUGAAAGUCUUUGAUUUGUGGUAGGUUGAAUAUUAGGGAAUGAGUGCUUUAUUUGUACCUUAUAUUGUAUGCAUGUGUUGUAGUUAAAGGGUUAAUCAUAGCAUGUAUGUCUCAAGUGGAAAUGUGUGAAAUAUCUAGUUAAUCUUUUCACACGAAUACUUAUAUCCCUAUCAUCAAGACUUUAUCCUUGUCUUGAUUUCAGUCUUCUUAAGGCCCUUUUCGUAUAAGGAUCCCUGUUAGUUCGUAUGUAUCUGCUGCUUAGCUUAUACAUCUCGGCAGCUAUGCUUCAGUGUCGGCUAUCAGUUCAGUCGCUAAGCAUCCGUUUCCUUUGAAUCUAAGAUGUUUCUGUAUAAAGGCUAUCAGCCGAUGCAUUUCUUUUGUUAUGCUUCUCCCAUCAGCUGAUUAGCUAAUACGGUUGUCAUCUUUCUAAUAUCGGCUACUGCUGAUAUAAUUCUUCUGUUCUGUCCUACAUCGGCUGCACAUAGCCGAUGUAUUGGAGAUGCACACACUCUUAAGAUUCUUGCUAUCGGCCGAUCCAAGCCGAUUCUAGUUGUUUUCCGUAUCGGUCAAAUAUGGCCGAUCAAUUCUUAGUUUUCCCAUCUCUAUCCACACACUUCUAUCAGCCGAUUUAUCGACUGAGAAAUCGGCUAUAUAUCUAUCGGUCACACACCCUCAACCACACUCCAAUCGGCUGUACGUCACUCAAUUAUUGUGCUGACGUAAUCGAGCCAAUGCAACCACACCUAGUUACCUAGAAUAACACUUAAGCACAUCUCAGUUAAGACACAGCUGCUUUAGGAAUCAUCCCUCUGCUAAAGUAAUCGAUGCUUUCAUCGAUCAAUUAGGAAACCGAUGCACCUUUCCAUCGACUAAACCUCUAUUGUUUCCAAUCGGCUCUAUUGUAAUCUUCAACGAGUAGCCGAUUCUAGUUAGUUGUUCCCCUAAAGCUCUGUCUAAGUUUAGUUCAGAUCUUUUUGGCUGUUAUGUGAGUGGUAUGUUAAAUGAGUGUUGGAUUGCAACUUUAUUGUGAAGUAAGAUAGUUUUAUGUGCACACUUUGAAUGUAAUAUUGCAUUGCAUGUAGAUACGACUACUUCCGCAAACGGUACCUACAAGAUCUCCCAGGAGUCUAUGGAGGAUUUUUCUGAAGACCAAGUGAACGUCACCAAGGGAUUAUCGGAAGCCCCGAACCAAAGUUCGAAAGAUAACAAUACUAACAUCUUUGACUCCAGUCCCACCAGUAAAGGCAAGCCCCGGUGCACAUCCCAGUAUUUCAAAUUACUACAAUUUCAUUAUUAUAUUAUAUCUUGCAUUAAGUUUAGGAGUUGAAAUGAAACCCUAGUUGCAUAAGAUCUUAGGAAUCCAAUGUAUUGUACCUGAGUCCUUAUCGCUUAGAUGCUCUGCUAAAUAGGGCCGGUAAAAGUCGGGUGAUUUUCUGUCACUCGCGCGAUAUAGGAGUUGCUUGUUUACAAUUCUGCAACCAUUAUAAGGAUAAUGGACAGGGUCAUGUGCUGUAACACGACCUGAAGUUUACCCUGUCUAUUUUGGAUAAAAGUUUUAAGGUCGAAAUGUGUGGUAGUGGUGGCUAAGCGUUUGAAAGUACUAGCCACAUACCGCGAAAUAUGGUAAGCGGUAAGCCUAGUACCCGAAUGGCCGGCAAAUGGACACGUCUCCACCACUCGACUUUUAUUUUAUGUUUACACGCACCGACGUGUGGGAGUACGCUCUGCAUGGCAGACAGGAAUACGGGUUUUGUAGUCGCGCUACAGACGUAUGUGCUGCACAAUUGGUGUGCGUACAGUCCUGCAGUCACUUGUGGUGGCCCUGAUCCAUAACCCGGAAUAUGAGGGAAACGGUUGCUUCAGAACUAUCGUUGGAUGUUCCAAGCGUGUGAGUUAGGUCUACCUUGCAAGGUUAAAUUCGAUUCAGAAUCGUCCGCCUCUCACGAAGAUUGAGACUGCUUAUCCCUUUUGCCACAUCGAGUAAAAAGUGUAAUUGUUGAUGGAAUAAUUUUGAUGGAUGAUAAUCUCUAUCUUGCUUGUUUAGUAUAGGUGCUUACCUAAUAUGGCUAAUCAAGCUAGAAUCUGAAAGCUAAAACUCGAAAGUAGAUUAUACUCUUUGUUGCUUUUCAGCUGAAAAUAAACCCAGAACCUUUACAAUGCCUUCAUGAGUCUAGUUACGGGCUAAAGUAUACCCAAUCCUGGGUAAGCCUUGCUGAGUAUUAGUAUACUCAGCCUUGCUAGCUUUAUGUUUUUCAGGUAAUAUCUUUGAAGACCCUACUCUUCCCUUGCCUUGACCCUGUGCUCUUCUAGAAGGAUGGUCCGUGGAAUGGGAUCCGUCCCCGGCCAACGCUGAUGAUACUGAGUGAUGUCGUGCCCGGGCUUAGCAUGACAUCCAUCUUGACGACGUAUUGUGAAUCGUCGCGUAUGUUUUCCGCUGCUAAGAACCUUAACUUUAACGGUUUGUAAUAAUCUCUCUGCGUUGAAACUUCAU